rnacentral:lncRNA from 1 species
GAGAGACAGGGUUUCUUAGCUUAGGCUGCUCUUGAAUUCCAUUUGCAGAUAAAGGUGACAUUAAGCUUCUGAUUCUCUUGCCUCUACCUCCCAAAUGCUAGGGUCAUGGGUUUGUAGGCUACCAUGCCCACUUUCCAUGGUGCCAGGCCUCAAACCUAGUGUUUCAUGUUUAAAUAUUCUACUAACUGAGCUACAUUCCCAGGCUAUCACCCUAUUUUUCUCCCUCUACCUUUGCCUAUUUGCAAAUUGUAAUGGUUUACUAGAUUAUUCUUUGUCAGGAGAGCUGUUGAUGAUUCAACUCAGGGCUUUUUGUUUUACUUAGUUUUGAGUCAUUGUCUCCUUGUGUAGCAGAACUGGAGCUGCAGCCUUAGCCUUUUGACUGAUGGAAUUAUAGACAUGAACCACCCACCCAGUAGUUUUAAAAAAUACUCUAUGUGAUAGGCUGUGGUGACACACACUUUGAAUCCCAGCAUGGGGAGGCAAAGGAGGUCUCUGUGGGUUCGUGGCCAGCCUGAUCUAUGGAGUGAGAUCCAAUACAACCAAGGCUACACAGAGAAACCCUGUCUCAAAAAAACAAAGCCAAAUAAAACAACAACAAAAAUCAAAAACAA